UAAGAGAUGAUGGGGCUUUGGGCAUGAUUCAAAUAAAAUUUUAUCUAUUUUAAUAAUUAAUUAUAAUAAAAAAUUUUCUUAUUAAUAUAACAUCUGGUUCUAGAAUUAUUUUAAGACAUUAAAAUAUUGUAAUAUAAAAAUAGAUUUUUCUCUAAUAAUAGUAAUAAUAUAUUCGGACUGAAUUGAAACGGCUUAAAAAUCUAUAUCCAAGCCCGACCGAAGUUAAAACAAGCCUACAAGCUUGGGUCUUCUUUUGGCACCUUCAGUUCAAAGAAGAUACUUGCCACUUCCCCUCCUCCAUCUGUCGAAGGUUUCUCGGCUCGCAAAGUCGCAACCUCCUUCAUCUUUUGCUCUCUUCUUGUCUGCCCAGCCCCCAACCCCCCAACUCUCUGCUUCUCUCUCUGAUUCUUUUUCCUUUUCUUCCUAGUGCUCUCUCUUUCUCCUUUGCUUCCUUCAUUUUCCUUCCUCACUACUCAACACGGUGUUAAGAAUCCAUGUCAGUUCCAAUAGUGACGAGCUUAGGCGAUAUUGUGGUGGAUUUACACGCGGUCAAAUGUCCCUUAACCUGCAAAAGCUUCUUGAAGCUUUGCGAAAGGAUUUCACCGCGCAAACGGGGGACCCAACUGGGACAGGUUCAGGUGGAGACUCAGUGUACAAGCUCGGUUUGUCAGUGAUGAGAUUCAUCUUGAUUUAAAGCAUUCUAAGAGAGGCACUGUUGCAAUGGCUAGCGCUGGGCAGAAUCUUCAUUCUUCUCAAUUCUAUUUUACACUUCGUGAUGAUCUAGACUACCUUGAUGGGAAGCACACGAGUGGCUAUUUGCUAUGUUGCUUCAACUCUUAAGGUACCUAUGUCAAACACAUAUCCUGUCUCAAAUUGGAUAUUGGUGUGUGGUCUUGACCCUCCAAAUAUAAGGAAAUACUUGAAAAAAAAAAUUAGUGCAUCUGUUUCAGACACAUGCGAUGGACACUCCUGCUAUUUCUUAGCAAGGUCUUUGGGGAGAUUGCUGAAGGAUUUGAAACUUUAACCUGGACAAAUUGAUCUGCAUUAUUAAGGACAAUACCUGGAAUUAAGCAACAAGUUGGUCAGUACAUCAAAUGGUGUGAUACCUGUUGAAGGAACAAAGAUAAAACAAAGAUAAAACGUGUUUUCUAUCUUCGACUGUGGCAGCCAAUUCCUGUACCACAUCAGGCCUGGAAGUAAUUAGCAUGGAUUUUAUUGAAGGGUUACGCUUAUCUCAAAAACUUAGCUGUAUUAUGAUAAUAGGGGAUAAAUUCACCAAGUAUGGCCAUUUCCUUCCCCUAUCCCACCCUUAUUCAGCCAUGGAAGUAGCCUAAGAUAUAACUCAAUCAGGUUCACAAACUACAGGGGAAACCAAGGAUUGUCAUUUCUUGCAGAGUUAAGGUCCUCACCGGCUUGUUCUGGCAGGAGUUGAUGAAACUACUGGAACCACAGCUCCAUUAAGCAUAGCUGACCGCCUAGAAUUUGAUGGGUAGACUGAGAGGAUUAAUCAGUGUCUCGAGCAAUAUUUAAGAUGCAUAAGCAAAAUAUUCCGCGUUGCACGUAAAAAUUUUUUGUUUUGUUAUAUUUACUUAAUUGGUUUU